AACGGUCCCACCACAAGCAAUGUAAUUUUCAUUUUUCUUUUUACAUUGCCGGUUUAUUUUUCCACCGCUAUUGUUAGCCCACGGUCAGAUCAAGGUAAUCGUGCGCGGCCGGCGGUUUUGGAAAUUGGGCGAGCGAACGCAGUGGCGAUUGCGGCUGCCGGCGAGCUGCGGGCUGCGAGUGGCUAUAGCUGGGAAUAGAGGCCGGCGGUUCGUGGCAAGCGGGUGACCUCGCUGGCGCGCGUCGCUGCGGGCGGCCUGUGCGCCGUGCGGCUCAGCGCGGGUGGCCUCGUCUCGGCCGCAGCGGGCGCCGCCGGGAUUUGCAGGGGCGAGUGGCGUGGUUUGGGCAGGGCGGCGGGUGGACUCGGCGGUGUACGGCGUGAGUGGAUUCGUGCGAGAAGAGCGAUUCUUUUUUUUUUUUCCUCUGCCGGUGUGCUUCUACUGCUACCACGGAUUCUAUCGGAAGGAGUCCACACCAAGCCGGGAACCAACGCGGGCGGCUGGAGAACCAACGCCUCGUAUGUCUCUGGGGCCUCAUCGCCGGCUGGAAUCGAGUAUGGACACCUCACCUCGAUCUCAAUCUUCAUGAGCACCCACUGUUCCUGACCUCCACUAGUCGCUGAAAUCAACCAUCGCCUGUGUACACGAGUUUCCCCAAACCUGCAGUUCCCGUCUAAAUUCCAUCACCUCUAGAUGUCCCCCCAAAUCUCUGCGCACUCACAUUGCAGCUCAGCACGUAAUUUAUUGGUUUAGUUUUUAUUAGCCAAAUAUUUAUGGAGGUGCGAAUUCGAGUUUGAUUUAUUUCAAUUGCAUAGAGCUGGACUACUACUGAUCCUCACACCGAGCCUGUCAGACUUUGCUGCAUUUUUUUGUUUAGCCUGCACUCAAACCUGGAGUAAUCUUUUAUGGAUUUUUUUUGAUUGCUGAUUCAGGUUACUGGUUUUUAUUUUUCUGAAACAUAAACGAGAUAAUAAUGUGCUAUUUUGAUGCGUACUCAUGGAAUUGUAGCUUCGUAGAUGCGAAUGUGCUAUUUUUUUGCAGACUAUGCAACAGACUUGGAGACGAAGAGUAAGAAUCUAGAGGUAAUUUUGCGCUGACAAAAAAAUGUCAGUGUUUGUGUUCAUGUUAUAGCUAGGCUGUUGUCGCCUAAGGUGAGCUCAAGUCUAAAUCAUGUGAUUUUUUUAGUUCAGGAAUUUUUGCGAUAUUUAAUUUAGGUUUCGGUGUUCUAAUAUUGAUAAUUGAUAGGGUGGAUUAGAACUCUGCAAGUUAUAAUGAUUCAGGGACUGCCAUAACUACAAUUGUGAGUGAUCAUGUGUAGGUAGAUUCAGUUGCAAGACUUCAUGUUCAUAUCCUCCCUGGCCACCGGAGUAAUGACCUAGAGCCCUGCUCCAGCGCUCCUCGCCACUAGCAUUGCUCCGGCCACCCCCACUAUUUUCUUCGUCGCUGGCGUCCGAUGAGCCCCGCAUCCCUCCAUCGUCGACACAAAUAAAUCCCUCCAUCAGCUACUUGGUCGGCUUAGACGGCGAGCUGCGCCGGUGUGCUUCUUUACUGAUUUCAGUGGUAUGCAACCCUUGAUUGGUGCUGGCUGCUCCUUAAUUUCCCCCCGGUAUUCUUCAGCACCGCCCUAUUUCUACCAAUUUGGAUGACUCCCCUAUUUACAUUCUCGCGUUUGACGAGGCGCCAAAUCACCAUAGACAUGGCACUGAAAUGUUGGCACAUUAGCAGGAGAGCCUCCAGCUGUUGUUUGAUGGAGUCGAGUGUGAUGUUUGUGUCAAGAAGACCACCACCAAGAUUAGUAGGCGAAAGGAGAACCAGUACAGAGCUGAAGAUCUCUCCUACCUCAUCCUCCAUGAUUUGAACGAUAUAAGGCCUUCACCUGAAGUUCAGGCCCAUGUUAACCCAUCUGUAAAAAUUGCUUUGAAGUUCCACUUGUGCAUCCUCUCCCAAAAAAGAAAGUUGCACUUCUGUAUAUAGCCAAAUAUUUCUAUUCUAGUGCCCACGUACAUGUAAUGUUUUUGCUUAUGAAUGUGUCUUUUUAUUGGUGUCGUCCAACCAAACAUAUCCUGAAAUGUCUGUGGUGCUUGAAUGAUGCAUGGCUUGUAUGCUACCUUCUGUAAUUCAACAUGUUAUGUCCACUGUGUACCAUUUUUUUA